rfam:Danio rerio chromosome 4, GRCz11 reference primary assembly.
GCCCGGAUGGCUCAGUCAGUAGAGCAUCAAACUUUCAAUCUAAGGGAACAGGGUUCAAGUCCCCAUUUGGACC